UUUAAAAUUGUUCACGUUCGGAUCCCUCUACUUAGCAAAAUUCAAUUUUUACACCCUCUAGUGGACAGAAUUCGGCGAGUGUACCACACUCUCCCUUUCUGUUAAUUAACGGAGUUAGUUUCUGUUUUGAUAGUACACAUCAUCAAGAUAGUCUCUUAAUUUUUGACACGUAAGAAAAAUAAUUUAGAGAAAACGGGCCCACCACUUAGGUUUGAUUCCAACCCACCUCCACUGUCAACCAUACAUGAAGAUCAAUUGAUUCUCACCUCCUCCUCCACCGCCACCAUCUUCACUUCCAUAAUCCGAGCACUGCAUUCUGUCACCGCUCCUUGUAAUUUUCCGACCACAAAUUCAAAUAACACCGCCAUUCCCAUUUCACUCUGUGGCUUCACCUCGUCUCCUUCGUCGUUGCAAUUCCGAUCCACCGCGAUCUCCGUCGCCGCCACUGUCGUUAUUUAUUUUCAUUAGUUUCAAUAUCUUGGUAUGAAAUUUCUGACUCUAGGAGAAUCCACAUCGCGUCUCCAUUAUUAGUUUCUGAUUAUUAUUUCGAUUCUUUGGAUUGACUGCAAAAUGAUUGAUUUACUCCGCAAAGCUGCUUGAGGUGUACGAUAGUGUCUUAAAAGAUAAGCACUUAUUAUCGUGUAAUGUAGAUAAAGUUGAAUUUUAGAUGCUUUAUGAUUAAUUAGAAAGAAAUGGUUGAACAGAGCAAGGAAGCAGAUGGACAUACAAAAGAUGAGGUAUUCAUGGAAUGUGGCAAGUGAAGUAUUAAGAAUCCAUCCAUCCAUCAGCUAAUGGAGCUUUCAUAGAGGUCAUUGCCGACUUCAACUAUUCUGGAUGUCUAAUUCUUAAGAGAUGGAAGAGGUUUUUGUUGUGGUGGUGGAUCGAAGGACGAGGCGUGACCGGACAGAGAUCGGUGAUUUAUCGAGCGGAGACUUACAAAAAAAGACCUCACCUACCGUUGAAAAUGAGAAAGAAAGGAAUGAAAGGGGAAGAUGACUAGUCAGCAUAUGUUUUGCCUUAAAAUUACCAUGUCACCACUAAAAGAAAAAAAUAAUUGCCAUGUCAUUAUUUACCAAAAAUAAAUGAACAUCAUGUCACUUUCUUUUUUUCUCCA